GGGGAUUUAGCUCAGUGGUAGAGCACUUGCCUAGCAAGUGAAAGGCCCUGGGUUCGGUCCCCAGCUCUG
rnacentral:tRNA from 1 species